rnacentral:rRNA from 1 species
AUUGAACGCUGGCGGAAUGCUUUACACAUGCAAGUCGAACGAUGAACCUUAGCUUGCUAAGGGGAUUAGUGGCGAACGGGUGAGUAAUAUAUCGGAACGUGCCUUGUAAUGGGGGAUAACUAGUCGAAAGAUUAGCUAAUACCGCAUACGCCCUGAGGGGGAAAGUAGGGGAUCUUCGGACCUUACGUUAUAAGAGCGGCCGAUAUCUGAUUAGCUAGUUGGUGGGGUAAUGGCCUACCAAGGCGACGAUCAGUAGCUGGUCUGAGAGGACGACCAGCCACACUGGAACUGAGACACGGUCCAGGCUCCUACGGGAGGCAGCAGUGGGGAAUUUUGGACAAUGGGCGCAAGCCUGAUCCAGCCAUUCCGCGUGAGUGAAGAAGGCCUUCGGGUUGUAAAGCUCUUUCGCAAGGGAAGAAAACUUACCAUCGAAUAAAUGGUGAGGCUGACGGUACCUUGAGAAGAAGCACCGGCUAACUACGUG